rnacentral:rRNA from 1 species
CUACGGGAGGCAGCAGUAAGGAAUAUUGGACAAUGGUCGCAAGACUGAUCCAGCCAUGCCGCGUGCAGGAAGACGGCCCUAUGGGUUGUAAACUGCUUUUGUACGGGAGAAAACCUCUUUACGUGUAGAGAGCUGAUAGUACCGUAAGAAUAAGCAUCGGCUAACUUCGUGCCAGCAGCCGCGGUAAGACGAAGGAUGCAAGCGUUAUCCGGAUUCAUUGGGUUUAAAGGGAGCGUAGGUGGAUUUGUAAGUCAGUGGUGAAAGCCGGUCGCUUAACGAUCGAAUUGCCAUUGAUACUGCAGAUCUUGAGUACAGAUGAUGUGGGCGGAAUAUGACAUGUAGUGGUGAAAUACUUAGAGAUGUCAUAGAACACCGAUUGCGAAGGCAGCUCACAAAACUGUAACUGACACUGAGGCUCGAAAGUGCGGGGAUCAAACAGGAUUAGAAACCCCGGUAGUCC